rnacentral:lncRNA from 1 species
AAAGCUCCUUAUUCCCUAAAGAGGGCUCAUAUAUAAGGGACUGAAACCCACAAGACCACAACAGGAAACUCUUCAGUUUUGAGGAGGGGGGGGAAGUAUGUUUAGAAUUAUUUUUAAAAAAUCAAUUAUGUCCCCAUAUUUAGUCUUCAAGUGACCUCAGACCAUCCAGGAAAACCUUCACACCACUGAGGCUUCUGAAUGAGAAAAUAAUCUCUUUACAGUUUUUUCUUUUCUCUUCCCUCUUCAAGUGGCUGGAACCCCUUUCGUCAAUGGCCUCCCAUGAAUGGUGUUGCUAAUAAAGCCUAUUAAUGAGCUUCCACGGCGGAGUGUGAAUAGGUAAAUAAGCCCCAAUCUGUUGAGGUUCUGGGGCAAGGGCAGAAAAGCCAGUAAGAACUAAAGGUGACAGUUUGAACUGAACUGCGAACGCCAGCACCAGGUUUCAGCUGAAAGAACCGCCAGACAAGGACACAUUCACAGUUCCUCCACCCCCUACUGAGGUCUCUUUUCUUCGCAAUUUUCCCCCCUUUACAAAAUGUCUUGAGUAGUCACCCUUUUUUUUUUUCAAAAGCCCUCGAGACGCCCUUCUUUUUUCACUCUAGUAAUGAUACAUCAAUGGGAAGGAAGAAAAAUGAGGACACCAGAACUCCGAUGCCCCCAAAAGUUUCAAGAAACAAAUUGUGCUGCUAGCCCGUUGGUGAUGGGAAGAGAAAGGAGAAGGGGGUGGGAGCGCUCACUACCAUGGGCCUCUCUCCUUUGAAGAUUUGGAAUUUUUCUUUUAAUAAUUUGUUUUGUAAUGGGUGGCUGUUCCUUCACUCUAUGGAAACGUUAGAUGAAAUAAAGGCUGCUGACAUGAAGUGCUCAUGAACCUUCCCGGGUGGAUCUGAGCUCCCUGCAACACCAGGAAUUUCAUUCUCUAAGCUACAUCUCAAUAGUGCCCUCGGCAUAAAAGAAGCACUCAAAUGGAAGGAUAUAGAAUAGUCGGAGGACUAUGAUAAGAGUAUUUACUUCUGGGUAAGGGGAGGGGCUGGAUGCUGUGACAGCUCCAGCCCAUCUUCAGGGAGCUUG